GUUGUUUCCUCCUCCUCUUCCUCUCUCUCUCUCCUCUCAGAUGGGAACCUGUUGGAUUUUACUGGGUCUUCUCUUUAUCUGCAGCCGCUGCUUUAGUCCAGAAUGCGCUCAAGAGUUAAUCGAGAUUGUGGAUUUCCAGGUAACAGACCCCAGCAGAAAUCUGAUCGACCCCUGAAGUGCCCCUCUCCUGUCAGGAACUUCUACCGCUACCUCAAGUCCACUCCCUCUCUAAAGCCCAACGUCCAGACUCCACUACAGGGUGUCAC